CAAUAGCGUAUAUUAAAGUUGUUGCAGUUAAAAAGCUCGUAGUUGGAUUUCUGGUGGGAGCGAUCGGUCUGGCGCUUAGCGCGAGUACUUGCAUCGUCUCCGGCCAUCCUUGGGGAGAGUCUGUCUGGCAUUAGGUUGUCUGGCAGAGGAUCCUCAUCGUUUACUGUGAAAAAAUUAGAGUGUUCAAAGCAGGCUUAUGCCGUUGAAUAUAUUAGCAUGGAAUAAUAAGAUAGGACUUUGGUACUAUUUUGUUGGUUUGCGCACCAAAGUAAUGAUUAAUAGGGACAGUUGGGGGUAUUCGUAUUCCGUUGUCAGAGGUGAAAUUCUUGGAUUUACGGAAGACGAACUACUGCGAAAGCAUUUACCAAGGAUGUUUUCAUUAA
rnacentral:rRNA from 1 species